GACGAACGCUGGCGGCGUGCUUAACACAUGCAAGUCGAACGGAAAGGCCCUGCUUUUGUGGGGUGCUCGAGUGGCGAACGGGUGAGUAACACGUGAGUAACCUGCCCUUGACUUUGGGAUAACUUCAGGAAACUGGGGCUAAUACCGGAUAGGAGCUCCUGCUGCAUGGUGGGGGUUGGAAAGUUUCGGCGGUUGGGGAUGGACUCUCGGGUUAUCAGCUUGUUGGUGGGGUAGUGGCUUACCAAGGCUUUGACGGGUAGCCGGCCUGAGAGGGGGACCGGCCACAUUGGGACUGAGAUACGGCCCAGACGCCAACGGGAGGCAGCAGUGGGGAAUAUUGCACAACGGGCGGAAGCCUGAUGCAGCAACGCCGCGUGCGGGAUGACGGCCUUCGGGUGGUAAACCGCUGUCGCCUGUGACGAAGAGUGAGUGACGGUAAUGGGUAAAGAAGCACCGGCUAACUACGUG
rnacentral:rRNA from 1 species